rnacentral:sRNA from 1 species
GCCGACGUGAAGUUGGCGCUGUUGCCGAC